rnacentral:lncRNA from 1 species
UAAAGAGCAAACCAUCAUCAGACAAAGAGCAGAGCAAACAAGGAGAUGUAAUAAUCAAGCUGAGAUGGAACAAAUGCACAGACAAGAGUGGCAUCAGCAUGUGUAGAAAGAUGGCACUAAUCUCAUAGAACUCAUAAUAGGUAGACUGACAAACAGCUGUAAUUCGUCUAUCAAGGGUCAUGUCUGCAGUAAUGAUGAAUCAAAGAUUUCAGAGAGAGGGCAUGAAGGUGAUGGUGGCAUUACAAUUUUAUGCUACAGGCACAAUGAGAGUUGUAGUGGCUGACACAUUUGGCAUUGACAUGGGAUGAAUAUGGGAGACAGUGGCUACCCGCUGAGGGACUGGCUUAGUAUCCCCUUUUUUAAAAUGCAGACACUAGAGCCAAGAAAAAGUUCAACUGUGCCCACAGCUCAACAAGGAACACCAUUGAGAGAACCAAUGGUGUUAUCAAAAAUUGGUUCCAUUUUCUUCAGGCACAACUAAGUUUCUUCAGGUGACCCAGUUGACGGAUGGAAUUCUAGCUGCUUGGUACAUCUCCUGGUGUGUUUUAAGCUUUUGGGAACAUAACUGUCUGACAGUCAAAAAGAUUUUUUCAGAAAUGUGCAACUGUCUAGGCCUGAGCAGCUUUGAUGGCUUUGAAUAUUGCUGUCUGGCUCUCAGUGGUGUUGAUGCUGCACGAAAGAAAUAUUUUUUAGAACAAUUGUUUCAUGACAAUUCCACUUGGGACCACUGAGUACUUACCAUUGCAUUAGGUUAUGUAAAGGUAUUGCUUGAAUUACUCUUCUGUGUAAGGUUUCUAUAUAAAUAGAUUAUUAUGUUGCUUUUAAUUCUUUGUGAUGCCCAGUAAGUAGUAAAAAGCAGUAAUGUUGAUAUUUACUACAUGCUGCUGGUGGGAUUGUGAAGGACAUGUUUUUCUCUUUAGAGUUAAUAUUUAACACUUUUCACUGGACCCAGGUAAGCCAUGUCAGAACUUCAUAACAUUUUAUAUGCAACUGUUAAAGAAUGUAGACACCCCACGUCCAUGUCAUUCAGAAGCUGAGUGUCUACUGGAAUCUAAACUGUAG